GACGAACGCUGGCGGCGUGCUUAACACAUGCAAGUCGAACGGAAAGGCCCUGCUUUUGUGGGGUGCUCGAGUGGCGAACGGGUGAGUAACACGUGAGUAACCUGCCCUUGACUUUGGGAUAACUGCAGGAAACUGGGGCUAAUACCGGAUAGGAGCUCCUGCUGCAUGGUGGGGGUUGGAUAGUUUCGGCGGUUGGUGAUUGACUCGCGGCUUAUCAGCUUGUUGGUGGGGUAGUGGCUUACCAAGGCUUUGACGAGUAGCAGGACUGAAAGGGUUACCUGCCACAUUGGGACUGACGUACGGCCCAGACUCCUACCGGAGGCAGCAGUGGGGAAUAUUGCGCAAUGGUCGGAAGCCUGAUGCAGCAACGCCGCGUGCGGGAUGACAGCCUUCUGGUUAUAAACAGCUUUCGCCUGUGACGAAGCGUGUGUGACGGUAAUGGGUAAAGAAGCACCGGCUAACUACGUG
rnacentral:rRNA from 1 species